GUCUCGGUGGCGCAGGCGGUAAGGCGUUGGUCUGACAAACCAGCGGUCGCAGGUUCGACUCCCCACCGAGAUG
rnacentral:tRNA from 1 species